CAGGGCUGCCACUGGAUCCCCGGUGAGCACAGGACCAAGGGGGAUCCAGGGCCUGGCACGCCCCCCCCCAAGCUGGGGCUCUUCCACAGGCGGGGCUGGGGGAGGAGAGGUGCCAGGACGGGAAGGUCUGACGGCGGGGAGAGCCGGCCACCAGGCAAACUCGGCUUCCUCUAGGCCGCUCCUACAUACCCGGCCUGUGCUCGGUCGCAGCACUCGCUGACAGGCGUACUACCAUCUCCAUUUCACAGGUUCUCACAGCCAGAGCUCUGCAGCCCCGGACCCAAGAAGGACCAGCUGCCGGCGCUGGGCUGAGCCCCCUCCACCUGGGACCCGGGAGCUCGGGCUGGGUGUGGCGGCGGCGCCAGCCUCCUCCUCUGAGGACAGGCAGGCUGGCUGAGACCUUGCUCACAGUCUGGCCCACGAGGAACUGCUCUCCAAAACCUUCGUAGAGGCCCCGACUCUGCUCACCAGUCUCCUGCUGAUUCACGCAAGAGAGGACAGAAAAGCAGGAAGAUUCCUAAGAAAAAUAGGUCAGCUGCCUCGGGCAGGCUGGGCUCACCCCCGUGGGCAGGGCCAGGCUACAAGCUGCCUCUGCGCCCGGCUCCCCAGGGACCCAGCCCCUUCUCCACUCAGGAGUCUGGGCUACUGGGCAGCCGAGGCCAGAGCCCACCUUACAAGACAGACCCGUCUUCUGCGUCCCCGGGGCUCUGCCCGUGUGUGUCCCCACUGAGGCUUUCUCUCGGGGAGUUCAGGCAUCCUUCAACCAGCCCCUGAGCUGAGCUUCUGGGCUGCCCAGACUCAGGUGUGGAGCAGGGGGCAGGGAAGCCAGGCGUCUGCUCCAAGUCUAGCCUUACUGCCGCCCACGGCCAUCAACACUCAGACGGGAGUGAUGCCCACCUCGUUCCUAGAGACUCUGUGUCGCCUGUCUGCUGCAUUCACGUGCACAUGCAAACACACAGCUGCACACACAGCGUGCACACACGCGCGUGUGCAGUCACCUCCAGCAGCUUCCACCAGUGACAGCUCUUUCCACAAUUCAGAUCCACUCUCACACAAGCUGCUUUACCCAUCCUCGGGCUCAGACAGGAAAGAGCUGCUCCCCGAGACCCGAGACCCGGGCCCAGCCUGAGGAGGCAUGGGACGUGCCGGGGGACAGGGAGCCUUUCAGAGAGAAGAGAGUUCGUCCCUCUCGGGCCUCACCCCCUCGCGCCCAGGUCCGCCCUCACUCCCUCAGCGCAGCAAGGCUGUGGCAGCCAGGCCCGAGGAAGGGAGAUCUGAGGGAGGAGAGCACAGGGCCAGCGGCCAGGACAGAGGGCAGCCAGAGCAAGGCUGGAGUUCAGCAUCUCCCGGCCAGGCAGCAUCUGCUCCUUGGGUAACCAGAUCCCAGCUUUCUGUCUCAGAGCCUCAAACCUGAAACCACCGGCCCUGGGACCCGGCAGCUCCAGGUCCAGCACACGCCGAUCUUGGGGCCAGCAGCUGAAAGCUGACUCUUCCCACACACCCCCUGCUCAGCUUCUCCUGAGCGCGGCCUGCCAGACACACCCCUGCCUCUAGCGUGUGUGCUGGGGACGCACACAUGCCACUUGGCACGUCCUGCUCAGCUGAGAGGCUGCCCGUGGUCUCGCAAGCAGCCUCCAGGCCUAGACCUCCUCCCUCCCACCUUCGCUGCCAAAGGGAGGGAGGAGGGUCAGGGCCAGGCCAAGAGCACAGGGCACUGGUCCAGCUACCAGCAGGAUCUGAGUCAGAACCCACUUUAUUUGGGGACACUAGUCAUGCAGGAUUUGUAGUCAACAAGAGGAGGCAGCCUUGGCGGUAAAGGCCCGGGUCCUCCCCCCAGGCUUGUUCAGCAAACGUCUGGGAUGCAGACUCCAUAGCCGUCUUCCAGGCUCUUCUGCACGCCCUCCCCAACCUCUCCACUGCCCCCCGGACGCACGUGACUCAAGCCCAUCCCUCCCUCAGUCCCAACCCUUUUUCCCCUCUGCUGGAGCAGCCCCUGCUCAGCCAAACCCUAAGACUGGCACCGCAAAGUCCCUCCCCUCAGGAAUCUCCCGGAAGUCAUCUCUGCCAGUCGGAGAACAGCUGAGCUCACACAGCAGCAUGUGAAUGCUGGCAGUGUGCGGGCAGCAGCCUCCCAGGCCCGUCUCCUGCCCCCGGAGGCUGUGCGUGAUGAGCUGCCUGCCUCCUGGGCUCGCCGCAUCCUUCCCACAAGGCUCUGGCCACUGACAAAACUCCAGUUUUACAGAUCUUUCGAAGGAUUUCCGAGCAGCCCUCCACGUCUCCCCGGACAAGGUCUGCCUGGGAAACCAAACUUGGUUCCCGACAGAGGCAGCAUCUGAACUUUACCCCAAGGCAUUCCCAGCUCCCAAUGCCCUGAAUGGCUCAAGGGAAAGACAUUGAGAGGGGGGCCUGGAAGCCCCAGACACUGAAACCAUCAUCAUCAUCAUUUACUUACUUACUACAGAACGCUAAUGUUCACAAAAACCCUACAAGCUCAGGCUAACCCCCUAUGAGGCAAGUGACAAUCAGAGAAGCGAAGCAACGUGUCCAAGGUCACAGGCCAGCAAGUAGCCAAGCCGGACUUGAGUCCAGGUCCUGUGACUAGACCUAGGUCCUUCACCACCACACGCAGAGCCCCUUUGGCUAAAAAGACCCCCAAGACCCACAGGGGUGGCGGGCAGGGGUUCAUGUCCAGCCACCCCAGACAGAAGAAGGCAAAAGCUUCAUAACCAACAGCCUUCAAUGCUGGGAAGUCCUUCCUUCUGUCUAGCCGCUUUGUGUG